rnacentral:rRNA from 1 species
AUUGAACGCUGGCGGCAGGCCUAAUACAUGCAAGUCGAACGAGUGGCGGACGGGUGAGUAAUGUCUGGGAAACUGCCUGAUGGAGGGGGGUAACUACUGGAAACGGUAGCUAAUACCGCAUACCAUCGGAUGUGCCCAGGUGGGAUUCGCUAGUAGGUGGGGUAAAGGCUCAACAAGGCGACGAUCCCUAGCUGGUCUGAGAGGAUGACCAGCCACACUGGAACUGGUGCACGGUCCAGACUCCUACGGGAGGCAGCAGUGGGGAAUAUUGCACAAUGGGCGCAAGCCUGAUCCAGCCAUGCCGCGUGUAGGAAGAAGGCCUGCGGGUUGUAAAGUACUUUCAGCGGGGAGGCGGUACCCGCAGAAGAAGCACCGGCUAACUCCGUGCCAGCAGCCGCGGUAAUAC